UUCCAGCUACAUGUCUAUUUUUUAUUCAAUAUAUUAAAUAUAUUAAUCAGAAAAGUCACAUACUAUAAAUCCAGGAAAAUACACAAAUAUAAAUGUCAGAAUCUGUCAUUUGUCUUCUUCCUAGAGUGACAGUUUAUGUACAUGUGGAAGGAGGGUAGGAAGAGAGAGCCAGCAGGAGGCUGGAAAGGCUGCCCAGGAAGGCGGGGCCCAUCCCUUCCUCCCAGCCCUGCUCCCACCUCAAGCUCUUUCUUCCUGUAUUUACAGCAGCACUGGGCUUAUUUACAGCACGGCGCUAUGUGUUAAAAAUGGUUUAUCUUACAAAAAACAUAAAGGCCGGGGCCAGGCUGGGGGGAUAAGACAAAUCGUGGGGUCACCCCCAUGAAGGCAUCCCCCUCCCCAAGGGCUUGAGCUCCCUGCAAACCUCCUGGAGCAGGUGAGAAGGUGGAGUCAUUCUGCAGCUCAAGCCCAGGCUUGGGGAUGCUCUGGGGGUCCGUGGACUAAAGGCACGUGGGGUGGCAUAUGAGAGUGCGCAUGUGCACACGUGUUCCCAGGUGGGGGUCAGAAGGGCAGCGUGUCCAUGAAGAUCUUGUCAAUGAUGGGUGGAGGGGGCACCAAGUCCUCCAGCUUGAGGUAGAAGAUGCGCUGCAGGCCCUGGGUGCACAGGGUCCGCAGCUCGGGCAGUUUGCCCAACAGACGUGACAGGCAGCUGGCUGGCUGGGGCUCGCCCGCCACAGCUGCCACGUGCUCCUUCAG
rnacentral:lncRNA from 1 species